UUCUUAUAUUUCCGUGAAAGUUACAAUAUAAUCAAAAUGAGAAUUUUUAUUUUCGAAUAAAUAUAUUAAGAUUAACCAAGUAUGUAACAACUUUUCUUACGGAAGAAUUUGUUGAAACUCCAACGAGAACGGACGAGAAUGUGCUGAGAAAGGAAAGGCUUAGAGACAUUCAGACAAUUUGCGUAGGGUCAGGUAAUUUUCUUUUAGUUUAGUUUGUAGUACUGCAGCUAUUGAUUAUUGUUAUUUGUACCUUUUGCUUUGUAUUGUGUGUUUUUCUAGACAAGCCUUUGUAGCUUUGAAUGUCGGAUACAUGCACUUGAGAUGGAACUCAAGCUUUGUAAGCAACAGAUUGCAGGGUUGGAGAAGUCCUAUGAAUACGUUGCAUUGGAUGAUGGCCAAAGUUCCAGGGAGAUGAAUUUUGCUAGUCUUUCUUCCUUUGAAACUGGGAAGUUGUUUCUGCCAUGAAGAUUGAUUGCACAAAUUAUUAGCUAUAUGCCAAUACCUGUUGAAAACUUGAAGAACUUAAUAAAAAAAGGUCUCAGAAUCAUUAUGUGUAACUUAAGAGUUAAGAUGACUACUUGGUCACUCAGUUGUAACUAGUGGACUUUGAGGAAACCUUUUCGGCAGAGGAAAAAGAUCAUAAGAGGGAGUACAUUAUGUAGUCAUUGUAAAUUUCUGUUUUGUUAGUCCUUGAUAUUCUGGUGUGAGUUGUAUCAUUGUUCUUUAGUUGAAUUACCCCCUUCACAUUUCCAUGGAUUGAUGUUUUAGUUAUUUGACGAUAGGGACCAAAACAUGUAAUGUUUAGGUAUAGAGACCAAUUUAAUACUUUAUCCUUCUUUUAGUUUACAUUUUGAA